GAUGAACGCUGGCGGCGUGCUUAACACAUGCAAGUCGAACGGAAAGGCCCAAGCUUGCUUGGGUACUCGAGUGGCGAACGGGUGAGUAACACGUGGGUGAUCUGCCCUGCACUUCGGGAUAAGCCUGCGAAACUGGGUCUAAUACCGGAUAGGACCACUUCUUGGAUGUUGUGGUGGAAAGUUUUUUCGGUGUGGGAUGAGCUGGCGGCCUAUCAGCUUGUUGGUGGGGUAAUGGCCUACCAAGGCGUCGACGGGUAGCCGGACUGAGAGGGUGUACGGCGACAUUGGGACCGAGAGACGGCAGAGAUGCCGAAGGGUGGAAGCAGGGGGGAAUAUUGAACAAGGGGCGCAAGCCUGAUGCAGAGAGGCCGCGGGGGGGAUGACGGCCUUCGGGUUGUAAAAUCGUUUCGCUAGGGACGAAGCGUUUUGUGACGGUACCUGGAGAAGAAGCACCGGCUAACUACGUG
rnacentral:rRNA from 1 species